ensembl:rRNA 5S_rRNA 5S ribosomal RNA
GACAAAAGAGAGACUAACCCUGAAAGUUGCAGUUCUUGCCUGGUUUCCCACUGAAGCUAAGCAGGGUUGAGCCUGGCCAGUACCUAGAUGGGAGACCUCCUGGGGGAAACUAAGGUUGCUGUUGGAC